AUACAAAUACAAAUACAAAAUCAAAAUCAAAACAAAUAAAUAAAAAUUACAUUAAUUAAUUUAAAAAUUACAAAAUAGUCCCUAAAACUCCAGAAAUUGCAUUGAAGACCUUCUAGCGCCGCAGCAACACUGCUGGAACAGUGGCGGCGCGUCUUCCCACGCGCCGCCGUCACUGGCGGCGCGUGGGUUCACUCGCCGCCGACCAUGCUGGAAACGGGCGGAUCUGCCCUGUUUUCUCCUUCUCUUCCCCUCCCUGCCAGCUGUGGGGAACGCCUUCACCUGCAACACCAGAAAUACACACAACACAAUCGGUUUCAAUUUUUUCUUAAUUUUCUCAGAUUUUUUAGUUUCCUCCUCUGUGGCAGAUCUGGUUGUGAGGCGUCUUCGGUGCUGAUGGCUGUUGGAUCUCGGCGUGUGGGCCGCUGGCGAGGACGGCGCUGCUGCUGCUAGCGGUGGAGAUAGGAGCCGCUGUCGAAGGGAACCGAUCUGCGGUUCUGUUGUGCCACUGGGGGAGGAGCUGGAGCUGCUGUGGAGAUAUCACCGGAGAAGGCCGGUCUGUGGUUCUGGUGAUGACGGGGACGACUCUGUGGGCGCUGCUGUGCCCAACGGAGGGGAGCUUGUCUGGUGCGUGCAGCGGCCUGUGAUGGCUGCCGGUCGGUCGGCUAGAGAAGAAAAUCAGAACCAGGGGGGUUGUUUCGGAGGAAAGAGAUGAGUGUGGCUCAGCUAAUCUUGGUGAUGAUGAGAGGGAGAGGGGACGGUGAUGGCUAGCUUUGGCCGUGUGUGGGAAUGGGCGGCUGUUUUUGAGAAGGAGAGAGAGGGUGCAGUGGCGG
rnacentral:lncRNA from 1 species